AGGCCGUGUGAUCCGUCGAGUUAUCAUGAAUCAUCAGAGCAACGGGCAUACCCUGCAUCGACCUUUUAUCUAAUAAAUGCAUCCCUUCCAGAAGUCGAGGUUUGUUGCACGUAUUAGCUCUAGAAUUACUACGGUUAUCCGAGUAGUAGAUACUAUUAAACAAACUAUAACUGAUUUAAUGAGCCAUUCAUAGUUUCACAGUCUAAAUUAGUUCAUACUUACACAUGCAUGGCUUAAUCUUUGAGACAAGCAUAUGACUACUGGCAGGAUCAACCAGGUAGAAUUCCUUUAGGAUGUUGGCAUCACGUGGGCCUCGAUGCACCGAUCGAGCGACGGAGAGAGCCCGACAUGGAGCACAAGCGUCGUGCGUGUCGAGCACGUAAAAUGUGUAGCAUCGGACGAACGGGGGCUGAGAGCUCAUGCUCUCUAAACGUUUUGCAUCCGAGAGCAUGAUCGAACGCCAGUGCACUAAUACGGCCAUGGAGGAUUGGGUGGCACGCUUGGGACACCGGCCAUGAUUGAUGUCCGACCCGUGGCCCCUCGGGACACGAGACAGAUAAGGGAUGGCAAGACAUCUGAUUUCCAUUGAUUCAGGUAUGCAACACAGGAUCCCGAUUGUGCCCCCUAGGUAUGACGAUCGCAUGGGGGGAGAUUGAAAAGGAUGACAGGUCGACAGUUCGAUGCAUCGAGCAUGGAGCCUGCCAACUCGCAUAGCCAUAGCACCACUCAUAUACCCAUUGCGUACAAGUGGCAGCAUCCACAUGCGUCGAUCCACAACCCACCGGAUCGAUUACUCGAUGAGCGAGCGGAGGAAAUGAUGUGCGAGGCCACGCCACAACCGCUUGGCACGAGAAAAACACGAGCAAGGGCCAUGAGAUUGCCUCUGCCAUCCGACAGGCAACAACAAAGUGACACCACCAAUGCUUGGCUUGACUGGGACCGCACGCGCGAGCUCCGCUGACACCACCCCAGGGGGACAUUGCCUGAUUCAGGGACUUGUUCUUGAGGUCUCGGGUAGCGUCACCUGCGUGCAUGGCCUCGUUGAGGCCUAGGUAUUUUUAUGGUCGAUGAUAAGGGACCACGAGACCAUCAAAUACCGAGAGACAUGGUCGGGCCAAGCCUGCAAUCAUAGCUUCUGGUCGCACCACCCUAGAGAGCCAUUGCUCAAUUCAAAGACUUGGUCUGAGGUCUAAGGUAGCAUCCACAGCAUGCACGGGCUCGAGCUCAACUCAUCUUUUUCACAUGCACGCCAACCGAUCGAGGCCAUGGGCGUCUGCUGGUCACCGGAGCAACCAGUCGUCGGACAAAAUGGUCGGAAGGCAUGCACACCUUGUAUUUCACUCGAGGGACAUUACCGUGGGUGUAUGCAAUGGGAGGCCCAUCACGCACACCUACUCCCCUCGUAGGAGAGGGAGAGGGGAUGCCGGACCACCACCCCCUAAAAAGCAUUAGAGAUUUUACAGAUAUGCUACUAGUAGAUGUUAAAGUGUCUGAAACGGGGACACUUUUUCCAAACAGGCAUAUCCCGCACCGAGGGUGAGCAGGUGUCGAUGGUGGUUGGGGCAUGUGCCUGCACCAAGGGCCAGCACGUGCCGAUGGUGGUCGAUGCGACUGCCCGCACCAAGGGCCAGCGUGUACCGAUGGUGGUCGAGGUAACCGCUUGCACCAGAUCGAGGCAUGUGCCCACACUAAGGCCCGGUAUGUGCCGAUGGUGUUUGAGGCAACCCCCUGCACUAAGGCCCAGCAUGUGCUGAUGGUGUUCGACACAACCGCCUGCACCAGAGGCCAUCUUCUGCCGAUGGUGGUCGAGGCAAGAGCUCGCACCAAGGGCCAGCUUGUGUCGAUGGUGCUAGAGGUAACCGCUCGCACCAAGGGCCAUCUUCUACCAAUGGUGGUCGAGGCAACCGCACGUACCAAGGCCCAACACAUGCCGAUGGUGUUCGAGGCAACCGUCCGCACCAGGGGCCAGCAUGUGCCGAUGGUGUUCGAGGCAACCACCCGCACCAGGGGCAUCUUUUACCGAUGGUGGUCGAGGCAAGAGCUUCACCAUGAGCCGGCUUGUGCCGAUGGUGUUCGAGGUAACCGCCCGCACCAAGGCUCGGCAUGUGCCGAUGGUGGUCAAGGCAACCGCCCACACCACGGCCCAGCAUAUGCCGAUGGUGUUUAAUGCAAUCGCCCACACCAGGGGCCAUCUUGUGCCGAUGGUGAUCGAGGCAAUCGUCUACACCAGGGCCCAACUUGGGUCGAUGGUGGUUGAGGCAAGUGCCCGUACCAAAGGGCAGCCUGUGCCGAUGAUGGUCGAUGCAUGUGCCAUCACCAUGCGCCAUCAUGUGCCAUUGAUGGUCGAGGCCUUGGCCGAAGUUUGAUUUUGAGCCACGGUGCACAUGCUGGGCUAGGGCAUGUGCUGGUGCCACAUUUUUUUUGCCCGGGGCACCAUCGUCGGAGCAUCAUCGGAGAACUUAACCGGCGGCAUUGGGGGUUCCGAUGAUUAGGGGGCCGGGGGGUGUGCACAUGAUGUGCGAUAGGUGCUGGUACUUGGCCCUUAUAUUGGCCCCCUAUCCCUCAUCAAACCUCGAGAACUCACACCCCCUUGAAGAGCAUUUAAGAUUUUAUAGGUUUGCUGCCAGUAGCCAUUAAAGUGUUUGAAAUGGGGACACUUUUUUCCAACGAUCACAAAAUCUUCCCACUUCGAGUUUUUAGCUUAAUUGUUUUGUGCAUUUCAACAAAAAUACAAGGAUCAUGUCUACCAAAUUUGGGGCCAAAACUCCUAAAAAAGUUUUAAAAAAUCCCAAAUCGUAAAACGUUUUGAAAAUCAUGAAAAAUAGAAAAUGGGUCGUCUUGCCACUAAACUUCACAUGAAGGCUUAGGGGACCAUUGUUGAAUUUACAAGCCAUAAAAAUUGCAUUGGCAUGGCAGAAAUAUGAAGAUGUGCCUGAACCCACCUAUCACCCGAUCGAUCCACAGCUUGCACAUCUCACCUCUCUGGUCGACGUAGUACCCGUCUGUUCGUUUUGUGGGUUGACUUAGGCAUAUGGUGUUCAUUCCCAAUCAAAGAUCGGACCGGAUCAAGGGUUGCAAUAGUAGGACCCACAACGGGAUCGGCAGCAUGCAGAUGGGGACCGGGCUGAUCCUCGGCUUGCACAUUCUACCUCUCUGGCUGGCUGAACGCCCAUACAGUCGUUUCAUGGGUUGACUUAGGCAUACGGAGUUCAUCCCCAGUCUAAGCAAGUCUUGUUCAUUCCCAGUCUCAGAUCAGAUCGGACCGAGGGUUGUGGCAGCAAGACCAGCAGUAGGAUUAGUAGCACGCAGGGGGGGAUCGGGUCGAUCCCUAACUUGCGCAUUCUGCCUCUCUUACCAGUUGAGCGCCUGCACGCUCAUUUUGUGGGUUGGCUUAGGCAUACGGAGUUCAUUCCAUGUCUAAGCCCCAGCCGGACCGAGGGUUGUGGUAGCGGGAUCGACAACAUGCAGAGGGGGAUCGGGUCGAUCCCUGACUUGCGCAUUAUGGCUCUCCGACUGGCUCAGUGCCCACACGCUCGUUUCGUGGGUUGACUUAGGCAUACGGAGUUCAUUCCCAGUCUAAGCAUAUGGAGUUCAUUCCCAGUCUAAGAUCGGAUCGACAGCGGGAUCGACAGUAGCACGCAGAGGGGGACCGGGCCGAUCUUUGGCUUGCGCAUCCUGCCUCUCCAGUCGGUUCAACGCUGACACGCUCGUUUCAUGUGUUGACUUAGGCAUACGGAGUUCAUUCCCGGUCUAAGCACCAACCGGACUGAAGGACCCGCAGCAGGAUCGAUAGCACGUAGAGGGGGGUCGGGCCGAUCCUUGGCUUGCGCAUUCUGGCUCUUCGAUCAGCUGAGCGCCCGUACACUUGUUCCAUGGGUUGACUUAGGCAUACGUAGUGCAUUCCUGGUCUCGACCAACCAAGGGUCAGAGGCUAUCGAGAACCUAUCCCUUAUAUUGGACCCUUAUCCCUCAUCAAACAUCGAGAACUCACACCCCCGUAAAGAGCAUUUGAGAUUUUAUAGGUUUGCUGCCAGUAGCCAUUAAAGUGUCUAAAAUGGGGACACUUUUUUCAAAUGGUCACAAAAUCUUCUCCACUUCGAGUUUUUAGCUGAGUUUUUUUGGGCAUGCCAACAAAAAUACAAGGAUCAUGUCUAUCAAAUUUAGGGCCAAAACACCUUCUAAAAACAUUUUAAAAAAUCUCGAACUGUAAAAGUUUUAAAAAUCAUGAAAAAUAGAAAACGAGUCGUCUUGCCAGGAAAUUUCACAUGAAGGCUUAGGGGCCCAUUGUAUGAAUUUACAAGCCAUAAAAAUGGCAUUAGCAUGGCAAAAAUAUGAAGAUGUGCCUGAACCCAGCUAUCACCCGAUCGAUCCACAGCUUGCGCAUCCCACCUCUCUAGCCGACGUAGUGCCCGUCCGCUCGUUUUAUGGGUUGACUUAGGCAUACAGAGUUCAUUUCCAAUCUAAGAUCAGAUUGGAUCGAGGGUUCCCGCACGCAGAUGGGGACCGGACCGAUCCUCAGCUUGCAUAUUCUGCCUCUUUCCUUGGUUGAGCGCCCGCACACUCGUUUCAUGGGUAGACUUAAGCAUACGGAGUUCAUCCCCAGUCUAAGCAAGUCUCAUUCAUUGCCAGUCUAAGAUUAGACUGGACCGAGGGUUACGACAGUAGGACCAGCAGCAGGAUCGACAGCACACAGGGGGGGACCGAAUCGAUCCCCGACUUACGCGUUCUGCCUCUCUGAUCGGUUGAGCGCCCACACACUCGUUUCGUGGGUUGGCUUAGGCAUACGAAGUUUAUUCCAUGCUAAGCCCUAGCCGAACCAAGGGUUGUGGCAGCAGGAUCGACAGCACAUAGAGGGGGAUCGAGCCGAUCCUCGGCUUACGCAUUAUGCCUCUCCGACCGGCUCAGCACCCGCAUGCUCAUUUCGUGGGUUGACUUAGGCAUACGGAGUUCGUUCCCAGUCGAAGCAUAUGAAGUUCAUUCCCAGUCCAAGAUCAGACCGGCAGCAGCAAGCAAAGGGGGAUCGGGUAGAUCCUUGGCUUACGCAUCCUGCCUCUCCGAUCGGCUCAGCGCCCGUACGCUUAUUUCAUGGGUUGACUUAGGCAUGUAGAGUUCAUUCUCGGUCUAAGCCCCAACCGGAUCGAGGGACAUGCAGUGGGAUCGACAGCACGUAGGGCCGAUCCUCGACUUGCACAUUCUGGCUCUUCGAUCGGCUGAGAGCCCACACGCUCGUUUCAUGGGUUGACUUAGGCAUACGUAGUGCAUUCCCGGUCUCGACCAACUAAGGGCCAGAGGCUAUGGAGAACCUAUCCCUUAUAUUGGCCCCCUAUCCCUCAUCAAACCUUGAGAACUCACACCCCCUUAAAGAGCAUUUGAGAUUUUAUAGGUUUGCUGUCAGUAGCCCUUAAAGUGUCUGAAAUGGGGACACUUUUUUCAAACGAUCACAAAAUCUUCUCAACUUCGAGUUUUUAGCUGAAUUUUUUUGUGCAUGCCAAUAAAAAUACAAGGAUCAUGUCUACUAAAUUUGGGGCCAAAAAUCCUUCUUAAAAAAUUUUAAAAAAUCCUGAACCAUAAAAAGUUUCAAAAAACGUUAAAAAUAGAAAACGGGUCAUCUUGCCACAAAACUUCACAUGAAGGCUUAGGGGACCAUUGUAUGAAUUUACAAGCCAUAAAAAUGGCAUUGGCACGGCAGAAAUAUGAAGAUGUGACUGAACCCACCUAUCACCUGAUCGAUCCACGGCUUGUGCAUCCCGCCUCUCUGGUCGGUGUAGUGCCCGUCCGCUCAUUUCGUGUGUUGGCUUAGGCAUACGGAGUUCAUUCCCAAUCUAAGAUCAGACCGGAUCAAGGGUUGUGGAGUAGGACCUGCAGCAGGAUCGAUAGCACGCAGAGGGGGACCGGGCCAAUCCCCGACUUGCACAUUCUGCCUCUCUGGUCGGCUGAGCACCCGUACGCUCGUUUCGUGGAUUGACUUAGGCAUAUGGAGUUCAUCCCUAGUCUAAGCAAGUCUCGUUCAUUCCCAGUCUAAGAUCGGACUGAACUGAGGGUUGCAGCAGUAGGACAAGCAGCAGAAUCGACAGCACGUAAGGGGGGACCAGACUGAUCCCCAACUAGCAUAUUCUACCUCUCCGGUCAGUUGACCGCCCGCAUGCUCGUUUCGUUGGUUGGCUUGGGCAUACGGAGUUCAUUCCAUGUCUAAGCCCUAGCCGGACUGAGGGUCAUGGCAGUGGGACUGGUAGCAGGAUCGACAGUAUGCAGAGGGGGAUCCUGAACCAUGAAGAUGUACCUGAACCCACCUAUCACCCGAUCGAUCCAUGGCUUGCGCAUCUCGCCUCUCUGGUCGGCAUAGUGCCCGUCCGCUCGUUUCAUGGGUUGACUUAGGCAUACGAAGUUCAUUUCCAGUCUAAGAUCAGACUGGAUCGAGGGUUACUACAGCAGGAUCCGCGGUGGGACUGGCAACACGUAGAGGAGGAUCAGGCCGAUCCCCGACUUGUGAAUUAUGCCUCUCCGAUCAGUUCAGCGCCCGUACGCUCGUUUCGUGGGUUGACUUAGGCAUAUAGAGUUCAUUCCCAGUCUAAGCAUACAGAGUUCAUUCCCGGUCUAAGAUCAAAUCGGCAGCGGGAUAGGUAGCAGAAUGCAGAGGGGGAUCGAGCCGAUCCUCGGCUUACGCAUCCUGCCUCUCCGACCGACUAAACGCCCGUACGUUAGUUUCAUGGGUUGACUUAGGCAUACAGAGUUCAUUCCCAGUCUGAGCCCCAACUGGAUCGAGGGACAUACAGUGGGAACAGCAGCACGUAAAGGAGGGUCGGGCUGAUCCUCGACUUGUGCAUUCUGGCUCUCCGAUCGGUUGAGCGCCCGCAUGCUCGUUUCAUGGGUUGACUUUGGCAUACGUAGUGUAUUCUCGAUCUCGACCAACCAAGGGCUAGAGGCUAUCGAGAACCUAUCCCAUAUAUUGGCCCCCUAUCGCUCAUGAAACCUCGAGAACUCACACCCCCUUAAAGAGCAUUUGAGAUUUUAUAUGUUUGCUGCCAAUAGCCAUUAAAGUGUCUGAAAUAGGGACACUUUUUUCAAACGGACACAAAAUCUUCUCAACUUUGAGUUUUUAGCUGAAUUGUUUUGUGCAUGGCAACAAAAAUACAAGGAUCAUGUCUACCAAAUUUGGGGACAAAACUCCUACUAAAAGAAUUUUAAAAAAUCCCGAACCGUAAAAAGUUUCAAAAAUUGUGAAAAAUAAAAAAUGGGUCGUCUUGCCACGAAACUUCACAUGAAGGCUUAGGGGACCAUUGUAUGAAUUUACAAGCCAUGAAAAUGGCAUUGGCAUGGUAGAAAUAUGAAGAUGUGCCUGAACCCACCUAUCACCCAAUCGAUCCACGAUUUGUGCUUCUCGCCUCUCUGGCUGGCACAGUGCCCGUCCGCUCGUUUUUUGGGUUGACUUAGGCAUACGGAGUUCAUUCUCAAUCUAAGAUCAGAUUAGAUCAAGGGUUACGAUAGCAAGACCCGCAGCGGGAUCGACAGCACGCAGAGAGGGAUCGGACUGAUCCCCGACUUACACAUUCUACCUCUCUAGCCGACUGAGCACCCGCACACUCGUUUUGUGGGUUGACUUAGGCAUACGGAGUUCAUUCCAUGCCUAAGCUCCAGUCACACCGAGGGUUGUGGCAUGGGACAGGCAGCAGGAUCGACAGCACGCAAAGAGGGAUCGAGCCGAUCCCCGACUUACGCAUUAUGCCUCUCCGAUCGGUUGAGCGCCCGUACGCUCAUUUCGUGGGUUGGCUUGGGCAUACGGAGUUUAUUCCAUGCCUAAGCUCCAGCCGGAUCGAAGGUUGUUGCAGCGGGACCAGCAGUAGGGUCGACGGCACGUAGAGGGGGACCGGGCCGAUCCUUGGCUUGCGCAUUAUGCCUCUUCGAUCGGCUCAGCGCUCGUACACUCGUUUCAUGGGUUGACUUAGGCAUACGGAGUUCAUUCCCAGUCUAAGCAUAGGGAGUUCAUUCCCAGUCUAAGAUCGGACCGGUAGUGGGAUCGGCAGCAGCACGCAGAGGGGGACCAUGCUGAUCCUCGGCUUGCGUAUCCUACCUCUCCGACUGACUGAGCGCUCGCACGCUCGUUUCGUGGGUUGACUUAGGCAUACGUAGUUCACUCCCGGUCUAAGCCCCAAUCAGAUCGAGGGACCCAUAACGGGAUCGACAGCAUGUAGAGGGGGGUCGAGCUGAUCCCCGGCUUGCACAUUCUGGCUUUUCGGUCAACUGAACGCCCGCACGCUCAUUUCAUGGGUUAACUUAGGCAUACGUAGUGCAUUCCCGGUCUCGACCAACCAAGGGCCAGAGGCUAUCGAGAACCUAUCCCUUAUAUUGGCCCCCUAUCCCUCAUCAAACCUCGAGAACUCACACCCCCUCAAAGAGCAUUUGAGAUUUUAUAGGUUUGCUGCCAAUAGCCAUUAAAGUGUCUGAAAUGGGGACACUUUUUUCAAACGAUCACAAAAUCUUCUCCACUUCGAGUUUUUAGCUGAAUUUGGUUGUGCAUGCCAAUAAAAAUACAAGGAUCGUGUCUACCAAAUUUGGGGCCAAAACUCCUUCUAACAAAAUUUUAAAAAAUCAUUAACCGUAAAAAGUUUCAAAAAUCAUGAAAAAUAGAAAACGGGUCGUCUUGCCACGAAACGUCACAUGAAGGCCUAGGGGACCAUUGUAUGAAUUUACAAGCCAUAAAAAUGGCAUUGGCAUGGCAGGAAUAUGAAGAUGUGCCAGAACCCACCUAUCACCCGAUCGAUCCACGACUUGCGCAUCCUGCCUUUCUGGCCGACGUAGUGCCCGUCCGCUCGUUUCGUGGGUUCAAUUAGAGAUACAGAGUUCUUUCCCAGUCUAAGAUUAGAUCGGAUCGAAGGUUGCGGUAAUAGGACCGGCAGCGAGAUUGGCAGCACGCAAAGAGGACCGAGUUGAUCCCCGACUUGCACAUUCUGCCUCUCUAGCCUGCUGAGCGCCCGCACGCUCAUUUCGUGGGUUGACUUAGGCAUAUGGAGUUCAUCCCCAGUCUAAGCAAGUCUCGUUCAUUCCUAGUCUAAGAUCAGACCGGACCGAGGGUUGCGGCAGCAGGACCAGCAAUAGGAUCGACAGCACGUAAGGGGGGAUCGGGCCGAUCCCCGACUUGUGCAUUCUACCUCUUCGACCGAUUGAGCACCCGUACGCUCGUUUCGUGGGUUGGCUUAGGCAUACGGAGUUCAUUCCAUGUCUAAGCCCCAACUGGACCGAGGGUUGUGGUAGUGGGACCGGCAGCAAGAUUGGUAGCACGUAGAAAGGGAUCGGACCGAUCCUCGGCUUACGCAUUAUGCCUCUCUGACCAGUUCAGCGUUCGCACGCUCGUUUCAUGGGUUGAGUUAGGCAUACGGAGUUCAUCCACAGUCUAAGCAAGUCUCGUUCAUUGUCAGUCUAAGAUCGGAUCGGACCGAGGUUUGCGACAGCAGGACCAGCAGCAGGAUCGACAGCUCACCGGGGGGGACCGGGUCGAUCCCCGACUUGCGCAUUCUACCUCUCCUGCCGGUUGAGCGCCUGCACGCUCAUUUCAUGGGUUGGCUUAGGCAUACAGAGUUUAUUCCAUGUCUAAGCCCCAGUCUAACUGAAGGUUGUGGCAGCGGGAUAGGCAGCACGUAGAGGGGGACCUAGUCGAUCCCCGACUUACGCAUUAUGCCUCUCCGACCGGCUCAACCCCCGUAUGCUCGUUUCCUAGGUUGACUUAGGCAUAUGGAGUUCAUUCCCAGUCUAAGCAUAUGGAGUUCAUUCCCAGUCUAAGAUCGAACCGAUAGUGGGAUCGACAGCAGCACGCAAAGGGGGAUCGGGUCGGUCCUCGACAUACGCAUCCUGCCUCUCCGGUAGGCUGAGUGCCCGCAUGCUUGUUUCAUGGGUUGACUUAGGCAUGUGAAGUUCAUUCCUAGUCUAAGCCCCAACAUGACUGAGGGACCCACAACGAGAUCAGCAGCACACAGAGGGGGGCCGGGCCGAUCCUCGGCUUGAGCAU
rnacentral:lncRNA from 1 species